UGACCCAGUGAUGUGGAGUCUACGGCCA
rnacentral:piRNA from 1 species